rnacentral:rRNA from 1 species
UACGUAGGGGGCUAGCGUUGUCCGGAAUCAUUGGGGCGUAAAGAGCGUGUAGGCGGUCCGGUAAGUCCGCUGUGAAAGUCGGGGGCUCAACCCUCGAAUGCCGGUGGAUACUGUCGGGCUAGAGUGCGGAAGAGGCGAGUGGAAUUCCUGGUGUAGCGGUGAAAUGCGCAGAUAUCAGGAGGAACACCUAUUGCGAAGGCAGCUCGCUGGGACGUUACUGACGCUGAGACGCGAAAGCGUGGGGAGCAAACAGG